rnacentral:lncRNA from 1 species
CAGGCGCGACGCAGCGCCCGGCCCGGCCCCACGGAGGGGUGCCGCGAGAGACGCUGGGAGUUGUAGUGCGCGGGCCGGUCUCGGGGCUGGCACUGCGCCGGCGCCGGACUUCAACCCCACAACCCUCCGCGCGCCCUGCCGCUGGUCGCAGCCUCCCGAGAGGAGCGGAGCGGAGGGGUUCCGGCAGCGGAGGUGGGGCGGAGCGGAGGCCGUGGUGCCUGUGCUGCGCGCCCCGCGCCCUGACAGGAGGAUCCAGUAACACCUUUCUUCCUACUUCUAAAAGUUACUACAGUUUCUCUUGAUUUGGACACACAGGUGGA